UGGGGAAUAUUGCGCAAUGGGGGAACCCUGACGCAGCAAUGCCGCGUGCGGGAUGACGGCCCUCGGGUUGUAAACCGCUUUCAGCAGGGAAGAUAAUGACGGUACCUGCACAAGAAGCCCCGGCUAACUACGUGCCAGCAGCCGCGGUAACACGUAGGGGGCGAGCGUUAUCCGGAUUCAUUGGGCGUAAAGCGCGCGCAGGCGGGCGCCUAAGCGGGACCUCUAAUCUUGGGGCUCAACCUCAAGCCGGGUCCCGAACUGGCGCCUCGAGUGCGGUAGGGGAGGUCGGAAUUCCCGGUGUAGCGGUGGAAUGCGCAGAUAUCGGGAAGAACACCGACGGCGAAGGCAGACCUCUGGGCCGCCACUGACGCUGAGGCGCGAAAGCUAGGGGAGCGAACAGGAUUAGAUACCC
rnacentral:rRNA from 1 species